GCAUGUGUUUGCCCGUUGCCGAACGCAAUUGCAAUUUAAAAAUAUCUGAAACUUUUCUCAAUAGAGCAGAAGAGUGUCUUUGAAGGUUUAAUUUUCGAGUGUUGGUGAAUAUCUAAGCAGUAUAGUCGACAAUUACUUAUUUAUUUUAAAGUUACUGUAGCCUACUGAAAUCAACUUCUGUAGGACACAUUUGCAAAUUUCGGGUGUGCCAGAAACAGUUUCAACAUUUAGACUACUUCAUCAAUAUCUUACUGCAUUAUGGAGUUGGAAAAGAAAAAUCCAAUUACAAUUCCUCCUACAAGACAAGUUGGUUCAUCUUCGGGCAUCUUCAAAAUAGUUUAUGAUGCUGCUAAAAGUGUUUGCACUGUUGCAAUUAUAUAUUUUUUCGGCUACAUGAAUUUCAGCCCAGCUUGGUUUCUUGCUCCGCUUAUUUAUUCUGUUAUCAAAAAUGAAACGAAAAAGACCAACGAAUUCAAGAGAAAUGUUGCCAAAACCUCAGCAUUGCAAAAUGAAAAGGAUGUAAUUCUAGCAAGAAUUGAUGAAUUACCUGCCUGGGUCUACUUCCCUGAUGUUGAAAGGGCUGAAUGGUUAAACAAGAUUCUUCGACAAGUUUGGCCAAACGUCAACCAUUAUGCAAAAGAUGUAAUCAAAGAUAUAAUUGAGCCUAACAUUUGUCUUGCACUUGCUGAGUACAAAAUAAGUGGCUUCGCAUUUCAAAAGAUGAGACUUGGUACAAUUCCGCCUCGUAUAGGAGGAAUCAAAGUAUACGACUACAAUGUGUCAAGGAAUGAAAUUAUCAUGGACUUGGAUAUUUUCUAUGCUGGAGACUGUGACAUUUCUUUCACAAUUAAAGGGUUCACAGGAGGCAUCCAAGAUUUUCAGAUCCAUGGGCUUGUCAGAAUUGUUAUGAAGCCUCUCAUUAAAUCAAUGCCACUAGUUGGCGGUCUUCAAAUUUAUUUUCUGAAUAAUCCUGCUAUUGACUUCAACCUUGUUGGAGUUGCUGAUGUUCUAGAUAUGCCUGGGCUGAGUGAUUUACUGCGCCGUGUGAUUGUUGAGCAAGUGGCAGCCAUGAUGGUUCUUCCCAACAAGCUUCCUAUCCUUCUCAGUAAUGAAGUUCCCGCAAAGAAUCUCAAAUUUCCAGAACCACAGGGAGUUUUACGUGUUCACGUUGUUGAAGCCAAACAUCUAAUGAAGAAAGACAUUGGAGUUUUAGGUAAAGGUAAAUCCGACCCUUACGCUAUCAUUACUGUGGGCGCCCAACAAUUCAAAACAAAAACAAUCGACAAUACAAUUGACCCAAAAUGGGACUUCUGGUGCGAGGCCGAGGUGACAGCCCCAAAGGUGCAGGAAGUGCAGUUUGAAGUCUGGGAUUGGGAUCCGGUUUUUUCUGGUGUUGUCAAUCAUGACUUUCUAGGCAGUUCACGGUGGAGGAGUUGAUUAGCCAGUUCCUUCUAUUGCGGCUUUUUGACAAAGACAAUGCUGCUACUGAUGAUAGCCUAGGAAGAGCAACAAUCGAAGUGAAUACUGUCACAAAGAAAGGCCAAACCGACACUUGGAUUUCGUUGGAGGAGGCUAAAACAGGAAUGGUCCAUGUUCGUAUGACUUGGCUGGAGUUGAGUGAUAAAUUCUCCGAUUU
rnacentral:misc_RNA from 1 species